CAAUCUCUGUGUUUCUCAAAAGGGAAGGUUCCCCGAAGCAGCAUCACAUUUGUGAUGACAUAAUGCCUGUGAUAUCACCCAACUUUUUACCUGAGUGGAUCUUGUCACCUUACCUAGAAUAUAUGCUCCUUCCAAGCAGGAGUUCCCUGACAUGCCUCAAGACAUCGAGCCCAGGCCCAGCAAGUGCUUCCCUGCCCUUAAUUUUUAAAAUCCAGCUAUGAAUAGCAGCUGUGAUUCAUUUUUUUCCCCAUGCAAGCCACUGCUGGAGCCAUGGGUCUGGAAACAGCCUCUGCAUUAGAGGAGAUUAACCUUCAACUUCAAAACAAAAACAAACAACAACAACAACAUCAACAAAAUCAACAAACUAACCAAGACCUCAUCUGCCUAAGGAGAAAAUCUAUAAGGAAAUACACAGACAGGACACCCUGGUUUCCCGGAGGCCUGGGACUGAGGACCAAAGGGCUGCACAUCCUGGAGAGGCUCUGCUCCAGCUGGCCGGCCCCAGCCAGCACCCAUGAGUGCGGCAUGGGGAAAGGACUUGCAGACGAGACCACAGACCUGCUGAGCAAUUUUGGAGGAAUCACGCAUAGCAGCAGAGGGCCAGACAUUUCCGACCAUGAAUUGUGUUUAAAUUUUCCCACAAGGAAAAAAGAUGAAGUCUAGAAACUUUAAAUUGGAAUCUCAAACACCUUGACAAAUUUUUAAUGGGUUUCGAAAUGGUUUGUGAUCCCUUAAAAAGGGAAGGGGGAGCAAAAGGAGACUGACAAUCACUAGGGGCCAGUAGAGUUCCCUAAAGAACGAGCCUUUCUGAUGGGGUUACCUCGGUUGGGAGAUGUAAUGGAUCUGAUUUUCACCAGGCAUCUGGCACAUGGCACAAGGAGGCGUUCUAAAAAUAUUCCCUGCAAUGAAUGAAUCAGAAAAUGGAAGAAGACUGUUAUAAAAUGUUUGUAGAUGAAAUGAGAAAUGUAGUCUGGGUAAUAGAUACUACACUCAGGUAAGCUGGCCCAGUGAGUGUCGGUUAAUGUCAGUCUACAGGAAGUGGGGAAGGGAAGGCUGUCAUCAGGGGCACACCAAAGAUGUCAGUGCUUAGCCUUGGCCAGGUCCCCGUUUUCACCAACUACGUGACUGUAGAUCUACCAGUCAGGCUUAUCACGUCUGAAUAUACUCUAACCUGGGAGGGAUAGACUUUUUUGCUGGGCUACACACUCUGGAUUCCAAUGACCCAGAAGCAUGGACAAAUCAACAAGGUGAAAGAACACGGGCAGAGAUGAAGGGGCCAAGACAGUUCAAAAACGCCUGAAGGCUGGAGGGGAGGACUGCCUGAUGGCACCCAAGUUAAUGUGAGGUCAACAGAGGCCAUGAACGUGACUCGAAAAGGCUAGCACGAUCUUAACAUCAGUAAUUCAAUUCAUGACAGGGAGACCAGAGGAGGUGCUGUGCAGCACCCUAAAACCCCAGGAAGGUUCAGAACAUCAGGGAACGCUGAGAUUUGUCUUCAAACACCAGAAGGGCUGUUCCUUGGCAGAGGGAACACACGAAUUCUAUACAACACAAGAGGCUAGAGCUCGGGGUGAGCAAAUAAAAAUACAGGAUGCCCAGUUAAAUUAGAAUUUCAGGUAAGCAACAAAUGGUUUUUAGUAUAAAUAUGUCAUGUGCAGUAUUUGUAGAAGUAUGUCACAUGCAAUACUUGGGACAUACUUAUACCAAAAAAAAAAAAAAAAAAGCCCUAUUCAUCGUCUAUCUGUGAUUCGAAUUUAACUGAGCAUCCUGUGUUUUUUCUGGCCACCAAAUGAAACUGGGGUUGGAGAGUAGAAUGUAGAGGGAAUAUAAGUUUGCAAAAGCCCAUGGCAUGGAGGGUGUUCUCAAGGAGCAGCUGAUCUAAUAAAUGAAUUAGUCGAGAAGAACCAACCAGCAGGGAACAGAUGCUUUCACAGGUAUAUACACGUGGCAAAACUCAUCAGACUUUACACUUUAAAUACAUGCAGUUUAUGGAGCAUCACCUAUACCUCGAUAAGUCUUUCUGUAAUAGAGGAGGAGACCUCC